rnacentral:lncRNA from 1 species
AUAGCUAUAAUUAUUAUAUAUACACAUUAACAUUAGAGUAAAUGGGCUCAAUUAGCCUAUCCCACAUAACAAAAGGAAAAAUUGUCCACCAAAAACAAAAUAUGGAAAUAGUAGCCUUUAUGACUUUUCUACCCUUAUUUAAAUUUUCUGGAAUUUAGAAAAACUGAAAUGUUUUAUUUAAUAUAUUUGAAUUAAAAUACAAAAUUACUUUAAAUAAAAUUACUUCAAAUAAAAUUACUACCGAAAAUUUACUACAUCUAAAUUUCAAAAAACUCAAUCCCUAGAAUUCAGCCGCCAUUUUCACACCUCCGCCACCGGGCCGCCGCCGUCACCGUCUCAGACCGAACGCGCCGCUGCCUUCACCUGCGCCGGAAGCCCCCCCGAACAUAGAUCCAGCCAAGACAAACCCUAGAAUUUUGCCGCCAUCUUCACGCCUCCGCCCCACCGCGCCGCUGCCGCCACCUUCUCUGACCUAGGCGCCGCCGUCACCGCCUCAGACCGCGCCGCUGCCUUCACCCGCACCGGAAGCCCACAUAGAUUUUCAGACGCCGCUGAUUUCAUCCGCGCCGCUGCCUUCACAGCCUCAGACCGUGCCGCUCUUCCUCUGCAGUUUUCAUUAUUACACACAUUUUUUGGCCGAUAAUGUGUGUAAUAAAGCAUUUUGUACUGUUACACACAAUUUCGAACGAUAAUGUGUGUAACAGUGAAGUUUGAACCAUUACACACAAUUGUGGUCGAUAAUGUGUGUAACAGUAAGCAAUUUCCAUUAUUACACACAUUUUUUGAUCGAUAAUGUGUGUAAUAAAGCAUUUCGUACUGUUACACACAAAUUCGGACGAUAAUGUGUGUAAUGGUUAAUUUCUUACUGUUACACACAAUUGAUGACGAUAAAGUGUGUAACAGUGUUACACACAUUAUUUUAUGAAAUUGUGUGUAACCAUCGUUUUUGUGUGUAACCAUCAAUUUUGUGUGUAACCAAAAACACAUUGCGAAAAAAUCGAAUCAAAAACCAAGAACUUCAUAAAUAUUCACUAAUAAUAUAACAAAUCAAACAUAUCUCGUGGUUUUGAACAUCAUUACAAAGAGGAUUAACACAUUUUUCUAUUAUCAACAUUUUCCCAACUAAUUUUUCGAAAUUCUACUUUUUCAAAAACCUCACAACAAAUUCAAAAGAUACAUGAAAUUAGAAGGAAGUAACUUACCGGAAACGAGAUGAAGAGGAGUAAGACGGCCGUGGAGACCGCCUUGCGAAACCGCCGGAAUGAGGUCGCCGGAAAAGGUCGUUGGUAAUGAAGGUGACUUGGGGAAGAAGAUGGUAACUCUUUUUUUUUACCCAAAUAUGAUUUCACCCAAAAUCUAGGUUUUGUUUUUACUAUUUCUCUUUUUAUUAUUUUGUUAUAUUUUCAAAAAUUGUAAAAUAUUAAUUAAUCAAAAUAUAUUAGUAAGGAUAACUUAGUCAUUUCAACACUAAAAAGGCUAUAUUUUCCACAUUUUUAUCUUCAUGGACAUUUUUUCCUACAACUAAAAGGUUUUGGCUAGAGUAGGGGUUUCACUCUUAACAUUAACACAAAGCAUGCAUUAUCCCAUUUCUGCACAUAUCUCUUCUAACAUAUAUAGCAAAUAAAACACAAACUCGUGCUAAUUUGAUUACAGAAACACAUGCAUGCAUCCCAGUUAUUACAUAUAUUGAAAACUAGUUGAUGACGCCACAUUUGUUCCUGACUUGGGCAUGGGCAGCCUGUCCCGUUAGAACACCUAUGUUUCCGAGCUUCAUCAUGGAGGCGGCGAAAUCCUUGGCAAAGAGGAAAGGAUCAGCGCCGUAGGCCUUCACCAUGGCCGCAGUUUUUAGGGCUGUGAUGAGUGCUUGGUCGGACUCGAGGAGGCCGN